rnacentral:rRNA from 1 species
AGAGUUUGAUCCUGGCUCAGAUUGAACGCUGGCGGUAUGCUUAACACAUGCAAGUCGAACGGCAGCACAGGAUAGCUUGCUAUCCGGGUGGCGAGUGGCGGACGGGUGAGUAACGCGUAGGAAUCUACCUUUUCGUGGGGGAUAACCCGGGGAAACUCGGGCUAAUACCGCAUACGCCCUACGGGGGAAAGCGGGGGACCUUCGGGCCUCGCGCGGAAUGAUGAGCCUGCGUCCUAUCAGGUAGUUGGUGAGGUAAUGGCUCACCAAGCCGACGACGGGUAGCUGGUCUGAGAGGACGACCAGCCACACUGGGACUGAGACACGGCCCAGACUCCUACGGGAGGCAGCAGUGGGGAAUAUUGGACAAUGGGGGAAACCCUGAUCCAGCAAUACCGCGUGUGUGAAGAAGGCCUUCGGGUUGUAAAGCACUUUUAGCAGGAAAGAAAGGCCGUGCGCUAAUACCGCAUGGUUCUGACGUUACUUGCAGAAAAAGCACCGGCUAACUCCGUGCCAGCAGCCGCGGUAA